AAUAACCCAGCGAAAGUUGGCCUAAUGCCCUAUGUAGUCGUUUGAUCGCCUGAGAUUUCGACGAAAAGAUUUAUCGGUAUUGGAUGGGGAUGCGUCUGAUUAGCUUGUUGGCGGGUAAAGGCCCACCAAGGCAACGAUCAGUAGGGGUUCUGAGAGGAAGGUCCCCCCACAUUGGAACUGAGACACGGUCCAAAUUCCUACGGGAGGCAGCAGUGAGGAAUAUUGGUCAAUGGGCGAGAGCCUGAACCAGCCAAGUAGCGUGCAGGAAGACGGCCCUAUGGGUUGUAAACUGCUUUUAUGUGGGGAUAAAGUGCGUGACGUGUCAUGCAUUGCAGGUACCACAUGAAUAAGGACCGGCUAAUUCCGUGCCAGCAGCCGCGGUAAU
rnacentral:rRNA from 1 species